ACAGUCCUGGGGCUGAAGUAGGUCCCAAGGGUAUGGCUGUUCGCCAUUUAAAGUGGUACGCGAGCUGGGUUUAGAACGUCGUGAGACAGUUCGGUCCCUAUCUGCCGUGGGCGCUGGAGAAUUGAGGGGGGCUGCUCCUAGUACGAGAGGACCGGAGUGGACGCAUCACUGGUGUUCGGGUUGUCAUGCCAAUGGCACUGCCCGGUAGCUAAAUGCGGAAGAGAUAAGUGCUGAAAGCAUCUAAGCACGAAACUUGCCCCGAGAUGAGUUCUCCCUGAGACUUUAAGUCUCCUGAAGGAACGUUGAAGACGACGACGUUGAUAGGCCGGGUGUGUAAGCGCAGCGAUGCGUUGAGCUAACCGGUACUAAUGAACCGUGAGGCUUAACCUUAC
rnacentral:rRNA from 1 species